rnacentral:tRNA from 1 species
NCUCUCAUGGCGUAGUGGUUAACGCGCCCCAACUAGAGAUCGGGGAGUCGUGAGUUCGAUUCUCACUGAGAAGA